AAGUCGUAACAAGGUCUCCGUUGGUGAACCAGCGGAGGGAUCAUUACAGAGUUACCUAAACUCCCAAACCCUUUGUGAACCUUACCACCGUUUCCUCGGCGCGAGCUGCGGCUACCCGGGAGUUACCCUGCAGCUACCCUGUAGGGGACCUACCCUGUAGCCGGCCCACGGCCCGCCGAAGGACCGCUAAACUCUUGUUUGAACCACUGUAUCUCUGAACACCUAACUGAAAUAAGUUAAAACUUUCAACAACGGAUCUCUUGGUUCUG
rnacentral:misc_RNA from 1 species